rnacentral:rRNA from 1 species
AUGCGUCUCCUGAAACAGCAACACCAGGGUGGAAGGCCUUGGCUUUGCCUUGGUGACUUUAACGAGAUCUUGACAAGUUUGGAGAAAGCAGGAGGGGCAGCCCGGCCACAACACUACCUGGAUGGCUUCAGGGAGGCACUACAAAUCUGCGAACUGGGUGAUAUUGGCUUCGAGGGGGACAUUUUCACUUGGAGGAACCAUAAUAUUUGUGAGAGAUUGGACAGGGCCACCUCGAAUGAGGAAUGGUGCGAGCAGUUCCCGGCUUAUACAGUGGUUAAUGGCCCUCCUAGACACUCAGACCAUCGGCCAAUUAUU